rnacentral:rRNA from 1 species
UACGAAAGGUGCAAGCGUUACUCGGAAUCACUGGGCGUAAAGCGCACGUAGGCGGACUCGCAGGUCAAUUGUGAAAUACCUGGGCUCAACCCGGGAACUGCAGUUGAAACCGCUUGUCUUGAAUACCUGAGAGGGUGGGGGAAUACCUGGUGGAGAAGUGAAAUUCGUAGAGAUCAGGUGGAACACCGGAGGCGAAGGCGCCUGCCUGGCAGUGUAUUGACGCUGAGGUGCGAAAGUGCGGGGAGCGAAACAGG